GAAACCGAGUCUUAAUUGGGCGUUAAGUUGCAGGGUAUAGACCCGAAACCCGGUGAUCUAGCCAUGGGCAGGUUGAAGGUUGGGUAACACUAACUGGAGGACCGAACCGACUAAUGUUGAAAAAUUAGCGGAUGACCUGUGGCUGGGGGUGAAAGGCCAAUCAAACCGGGAGAUAGCUGGUUCUCCCCGAAAGCUAUUUAGGUAGCGCCUCGUGAAUUCAUCUCCGGGGGUAGAGCACUGUUUCGGCUAGGGGGCCAUCCCGGCUUACCAACCCGAUGCAAACUGCGAAUACCGGAGAAUGUUAUCACGGGAGACACACGGCGGGUGCUAACGUCCGUCGUGAAGAGGGAAACAACCCAGACCGCCAGCUAAGGUCCCAAAGUCAUGGUUAAGUGGGAAACGAUGUGGGAAGGCCCAGACAGCCAGGAUGUUGGCUUAGAAGCAGCCAUCAUUUAAAGAAAGCGUAAUAGCUCACUGGUCGAGUCGGCCUGCGCGGAAGAUGUAACGGGGCUAAACCAUGCACCGAAGCUGCGGCAGCGAACGUAUCACCCAAGACAACUUUGCGGAGUUGACGAUUGACGGAGCGAAGCGACGUCAAAGCGUUCAUUAAAGUCGAGUUGGCUUAGGGAUACGUUCGUUGGGUAGGGGAGCGUUCUGUAAGCCUGUGAAGGUAUGCUGUGAGGCAUGCUGGAGGUAUCAGAAGUGCGAAUGCUGACAUAAGUAACGAUAAAGCGGGUGAAAAGCCCGCUCGCCGGAAGACCAAGGGUUCCUGUCCAACGUUAAUCGGGGCAGGGUGAGUCGACCCCUAAGGCGAGGCCGAAAGGCGUAGUCGAUGGGAAACGGGUUAAUAUUCCCGUACUUGGUGUUACUGCGAAGGGGGGACGGAGAAGGCUAUGUUGGCCGGGCGACGGUUGUCCCGGUUUAAGCGUGUAGGUGUGUGUUCCAGGUAAAUCCGGUUCACUUUAACACUGAGGCGUGACGACGAGGCACUACGGUGCUGAAGCAACAAAUGCCCUGCUUCCAGGAAAAGCCUCUAAGCAUCAGGUAACAUCAAAUCGUACCCCAAACCGACACAGGUGGUCAGGUAGAGAAUACCAAGGCGCUUGAGAGAACUCGGGUGAAGGAACUAGGCAAAAUGGUGCCGUAACUUCGGGAGAAGGCACGCUGACAUGUAGGUGAAG
rnacentral:rRNA from 1 species